rnacentral:piRNA from 1 species
UCAGAUGUCCCUAUUAACUUGAUGGCGAU